UGGGGAAUAUUGGACAAUGGGCGCAAGCCUGAUCCAGCCAUGCCGCGUGAGUGAUGAAGGCCCUAGGGUUGUAAAGCUCUUUCACCGGUGAAGAUAAUGACGGUAACCGGAGAAGAAGCCCCGGCUAACUUCGUGCCAGCAGCCGCGGUAAUACGAAGGGGGCUAGCGUUGUUCGGAUUUACUGGGCGUAAAGCGCACGUAGGCGGACUAUUAAGUCAGGGGUGAAAUCCCGGGGCUCAACCCCGGAACUGCCUUUGAUACUGGUAAUCUUGAGUUCGAGAGAGGUGAGUGGAAUUCCGAGUGUAGAGGUGAAAUUCGUAGAUAUUCGGAGGAACACCAGUGGCGAAGGCGGCUCACUGGCUCGAUACUGACGCUGAGGUGCGAAAGCGUGGGGAGCAAACAGG
rnacentral:rRNA from 1 species